GACGAACGCUGGCGGCGUGCCUAAUACAUGCAAGUCGAACGAAGCUGUUUUAACUGGUGCUUGCACCGACUUAAACAACUGAGUGGCGAACGGGUGAGUAACACGUGGGUAACCUGCCCCAAAGCGGGGGAUAACAUCUGGAAACAGAUGCUAAUACCGCAUAACCACAGAAACCACAUGGUUUCUGUGUCAAAGAUGGUUUCGGCUAUCACUUUGGGAUGGACCCGCGGCGUAUUAGCUUGUUGGUAGGGUAAUGGCUUACCAAGGCAAUGAUACGUAGCCGGACUGAGAGGUUGAUCGGCCACAUUGGGACUGAGACACGGCCCAAACUCCUACGGGAGGCAGCAGUAGGGAAUCUUCCACAAUGGACGAAAGUCUGAUGGAGCAACGCCGCGUGAGUGAAGAAGGUUUUCGGAUCGUAAAACUCUGUUGUCAGAGAAGAACGUGUGCGAGAGUAACUGCUCGUGCAGUGACGGUAUCUGGCCAGAAAGCCACGGCUAACUACGUGCCAGCAGCCGCCGCCG
rnacentral:rRNA from 1 species